GUCAUCUAGUCACCGAUUUCCACCCUCACUUCGACAUUAUUGCCUCUGGAACACACUAGAUAAGUGAAUUAUGUCUUUAGACAAUGGCUUUUCAAUGAACGGGGAACAAGUUGCCUGCCAGGGGACAUUUGGCAUUUUUGAUCAUCACAGCUGGGGGAGGGCACUCCGGGCCUCUAAUGAGUGGAGACCAGAGUUGCUGCUCAGGAUGCUGUGAUGCAUAUGGCAGCCUCUACCACCAAGAAUCAUCUGCCUAAAUGUCAGUGAUGCUGACACUGAGCAACCAGGUUUAGGGGAAUGAGUUCAAAUGUCUGAUAGGGAAUUCCAAAGCAGUCCUGUGGUUAAGACUCCAUACUUUCACUGCAGGGAGCAUGGGUUCCAUCCCUGGUUGGGGAACUAAAGAUCCAUAAGCCCACAGGCGUGGCCAAACAUCAGAAAGAAAAAAGAAAAGGAAACCUAUGAUAGAAAUGAAAUGACUGAGACAGUUAGAACAGACCUUUUAAAAUGUCUGUGGAAACACUUUCCCUCAUUUCAAUUUUAUUUUUAACGAGUUUAAUACGAGGUGAACUCUCUCCUCAGAUAUGUUCUGGUCUGCGAUUACAAAGUACAUUUUUGGACUUUGGAAACUCAAGUUCCAGAUACAGUGAAACCCAAACCACUGGCCACUUCUACUUUCCUCUCUUGCCAGAACAUUCUGGUGCAACAGAAGGGUUAGAGGCACACACCGUAUGUUUUUCAUUCAUUUAUGCUGAAAUUGUCUCAAAGUUCCCUUUUUUUUUUAAUGAGCCAUUUGAUGUCCAAAAAGCCUUUUGAGUCACAUUUAUAACCCUUUAAAAAGCUCAUUCCUCUUCGAAACAGGAAGCCACUUUGUGAACAGAGUAAACACAGCCAAACCUUGGAAGAGGGGCAAAGAGAGGUGACUCCCUUUCAGGAGCCUCUGCCUUUGGGGGGGAUGUCUUCACCACCCCUGCAAGAACCCCUGUGUGGCCAUGAUGGCUAGUGGGGGUGAGAUGACCAAGUUGGAAAGCAGGGGCCGUAAUGGGGCCCCCCACUCUCUGGGUGGCCUUUGUUCAAGGUCUGUUGCUGAUGGGGCUGCUCUAGACGGACCAGCAUCUGUGAUGGGUAAUCCUUUAUAUGAAUCUAUCACAGUAUAGCAGAAAGGAUGCUCAGCUGAAUCUGGACAAUCUCUCUGGAUCUCUUUAAGGGCUCACCUUCUCUGGCUGUCCCCCCUUCACAUGUAAGUGACAGGGAUGGGCCGGGAGAUCUCCAAUGGCCUUUUUUUUGUUCUUUGGAGCUACACUUUGGAGCUAAAAUAUAGCUAAAUCAAACCAAGUAAAGUGCAGCAAAGAAAAGCAAAAUGAAACAAAAAAUAAAUAAUAAUAAUAAUAAAACUUGAUUUGAGAGUCACUUGCUGUGUGACAUAAGGCACAUGAUUGACUUCUCUGAGCCUCCGUUUCAGGACUCAUAAAGGAUGUGAGAAGAGGUGCACCUUCCCAUUUUGGGUACUUUCUUUGCCCUUCUUAGUAUUUUUUAAUAGUUG
rnacentral:lncRNA from 1 species